CCUACGGGAGGCAGCAGUGAGGAAUAUUGGUCAAUGGGCUUACGCCUGAACCAGCCAAGUCGCGUGAGGGAAGACUGCCCUAUGGGUUGUAAACCUCUUUUGUCAGGGAGCAACGCCGGCUACGUGUAGCCGGACUGAGAGUACCUGAAGAAAAAGCAUCGGCUAACUCCGUGCCAGCAGCCGCGGUAAUACGGAGGAUGCGAGCGUUAUCCGGAUUUAUUGGGUUUAAAGGGUGCGUAGGCGGAAUGCCAAGUCAGCGGUAAAAUCGCGGGGCUCAACCUCGCUCCGCCGUUGAAACUGGCGUUCUUGAGUGGGCGAGAAGUAUGCGGAAUGCGUGGUGUAGCGGUGAAAUGCAGAGAGAUCACGAAGAAAUCCGAUUGCGAAGGCAGCAUACCGGCGCCCAACUGACGCUGAAGCACGAAAGCGUGGGGAUCGAACAGGAUUAGAUACCCUGGUAGUC
rnacentral:rRNA from 1 species